GAGUAAAUAUUUGUGCAACUCAAAUCGUGUUAAAAGAAAAACUUAAUUUAAUAUUUUAAGAGAAACGUCUUAUAAUUUUAAGGUAAAAGUAAAUGUUAAAGAAAUUAUUUAUAUAAUUUAUAGAAUAAAGUACUGUCAAGGAAAGUUUAAAGUUUGCAAAUUUUAAGAAAAGAAGAUUUAAAAUAUCGUACCUUGUGUAUCAGGGUAAAGCAAAAUUUUCUUUUAAGAAAAGAAUUCCCGAAUUAAAGUGAUCUAAAUAAUAUUGAUACUAGCUGUAGCAUCAGUUUUAAUAAAUUUUAUUUAGGGGUGAAAGGCCAUACGAACUUUUAUAUCUGGUUUCUUGAAAAAUGAAUUCAAUUCAGUUAAUUUCUGUUAAUCGUCUAUUAAUUGAUUAUUAAUAUUAAUUAAUAAAACUGGAGGGGGAUGAGCUCUUCUAGUAAUAUAAAAUAUAAUAAUUAAAUGAAUUAUAAAACAAUUUAAGGUUUAAUGAUGCCCAAAAAUAAUAAGUUUGUUAUAAUUUAUGUUUUUUAGUUUAAUAUUUUAAAUUAUUUAUUUUAUUAUCAAGAUAAUAAAUAUAACUAUUUUAUUUAAGAAAAAAUGCUUUAAUUAGUAAAAUAUUAUGUAUAAUUUCAAGUAAAUUUUUAUUGAAGUAAAGAUUUAAAAAAGGAACUCGGCAAAUUUAUUUUCCGCAUGUUUAUCAAAAACAUCUCUUUUUGAAAUAUAAAAAGUACCGCCUGCUCAAUGCUUUUAGUAAAUAGCCGCAGUAUUUUGACUGUGCUAAGGUAGCAUAAUCAUUAGUCUUUUAAUUGAAGGCUGGUAUGAAUGGUGAGACGAGAAAAUUUCUGUCUCUUUUAAAAUAAUUGAAUUUCAUUUCUGAGUGAAAAAGCUAAGAUAAUUUUGAAGGACGAUCAGACCCUUUGGAGCUUUAUUUAUUUUUUAUAAUAAAUUAAUAUUUAAUGAUUGUUGUAGAAGAUGAAUUUUGUUGGGGCGACAGAGAGUUUAACAUAACACUCUUUUUAUUAAACAAAAAUAAUUGAAUUAUUGAUCCCUAAAGAAGGAUUAGAAGACUAAGUUACCCUAGGGAUAACAGCGUAAUCUUUUUGGAGAGUUCUUAUCGAUAAAAAGGUUUGCGACCUCGAUGUUGGAUUAAGAAAUUAGCAAGGUGCAGAAGUUUUGCUGGAGAGUCUGUUCGACUUUUAAUAUCUUACAUGAUCUGAGUUCAAACCGGCGUAAGCCAGGUUGGUUUCUAUCCUCAAAAUAAAAUGAAUUUCCUUAGUACGAAAGGAUUGGGAAAUUAAGAUAAUUUUUUAUUAAGAAUUCAAAUAAUUUAAAGAAUAAAAAU
rnacentral:rRNA from 1 species